UAUUCCUUCUGAUAUAAGAAGCGGUUCGUGUGUCGAGAAGCGAGAGGAACACUGAAGAGAAAAGAAAUAUAACAGCCAUGAAGAGUCUCGUCCUUUUCUUAUUUCUUUUCGUUGUUGGUCUUUGGGUGACUGAAGGACAGCAGUUGACUCAAGGACCGUCGGUGGCUACAGGACUGCCAGGGACUAGGGAAGGAGGGGAAGAACAAGAGAGUGCGCCACUACCAGAUGAUGAAGAAGAUUUAGGGAGUGAUAAAGACCUAGGGGACGGCGAGUCGCCAGGGAAUGACGACGAGUCAGAGGAUGAAGGUGAGUCGGAGGAUGAAGGCGAGUCAGAGGAUGAAGGCGAGCCAGAGGAUGAAGAAGAGUCAGACGAUGAAGCGUUAUCGGCUGAUGAGGAGUCAGAGGAUGACGAUCAGGGAGGGGAUGGUGACGAGUCAGACGAUGACGACGAGGGAGGAGAUGAAUACGAAUCAGGGGACCCGGACGAGUCAGGGAAUGAAGACGCUUCAGAGGUAGUUGAUGCAAUUGAUGAAGAAUCCGACAGUGAAGUUGACCCGGUGAGUGGAGUUCCGCCGUUUCAUAACGAAACAGUUGAUUCUGGUAACUCGACGACAGAAGGAGAAAGUCUUGCUGUGCCCAAACGUCUGCGCAAAUGUUGGAAGGGCUGUUAUAGAAUCGUGACCUAUAAAAUAUCAAGUAGAAAGCGGUGUGCGGAAUUAAAAUGGUGCAUAAAAUACAGAACUGGCUAUAAAAGAAUUCGUACACCCUGUUAUAAUUGCUGUAAUGGAUGGAGUGACAAGAAUGGGCAGUGCACAGACAUCAACGAGUGCAAAGGGAGGAACCCGUGUGGCAAAUACGGAAGAUGCCGCAACAGACUAGGAUCUUACAGAUGUUACUGUAAACGAGGUUUCCGUUUCAAUGGGAGAACAUGUGUUGACAUCAACGAGUGCAAAGGAAGGAACCCGUGUGGCAAAUACGGAAGAUGCCGCAACAGACUAGGAUCUUACAGAUGUUACUGUAAACGAGUUUUCGUUUCAAUCGGAGAACAUGUGUUGACAUCAACGAGUGCAAAGGGAGGAACCCGUGUGGCAAAUACGGAAGAUGCCGCAACAGACUAGGAUCUUACAGAUGUUACUGUAAACGAGGUUUCCGUUUCAAUGGGAGAACAUGUGUUGAUAUUAACGAAUGUUUACGCAAACCUUGUCGUUCUGGGGCCACAUGUCGCAACGCCCUCGGGUCCUAUCGUUGUAUAUGUAAACGAGGUUACCGAUAUGUAAAGAAUCAAUGUGUUG
rnacentral:misc_RNA from 1 species